GCAUAUCAAUAAGCGGAGGAAAAGAAACCAACAGGGAUUGCCCUAGUAACGGCGAGUGAAGCGGCAACAGCUCAAAUUUGAAAUCUGGCUUCGGCCCGAGUUGUAAUUUGUAGAGGAAGCUUCUGGCGCGGUGCCGUCCGAGUCCCCUGGAACGGGGCGCCAUAGAGGGUGAGAGCCCCGUAUGGACGGAUGCUAAGCCUGUGUGAAGCUCCUUCGACGAGUCGAGUAGUUUGGGAAUGCUGCUCAAAAUGGGAGGUAAAUUCCUUCUAAAGCUAAAUAUUGGCCAGAGACCGAUAGCGCACAAGUAGAGUGAUCGAAAGAUGAAAAGCACUUUGAAAAGAGGGUUAAACAGCACGUGAAAUUGUUGAAAGGGAAGCGCUUGUGACCAGACUUGCGCCAGGUUGAUCAUCCGGUGUUCUCACCGGUGCACUCUGCCUGGCACAGGCCAGCAUCAGUUUUGGCGGGGGGAUAAAGGGCGCUUGAACGUAGCUCCUCCGGGAGUGUUAUAGCGUGCGUCGUAAUACCCUCGCCGGGACUGAGGACCGCGCAUCUGCAAGGAUG
rnacentral:rRNA from 1 species